CCUACGGGUGGCAGCAGUGGGGAAUAUUGGGCAAUGGAGGAAACUCUGACCCAGCAACGCCGCGUGAAUGAUGAAGGUCUUCGGAUUGUAAAGCUCUUUUCUAAGGGAAGUAGAAAGUGACAGUACCUUAUGAAUGCGUGUCGGCUAAGUACAUGCCAGAAGCCGCGCUAAUACGGCGGAGGCGAGCGUUAUCCGGAUUGAAUGGGGUUAAGGGUGGCGUAGGUGGGUUGGCAAGUUAGUAGGGUAAUUCCGAGGCUCAACCUUGAAAUUACUACUAAAACUGUUGGACUUGAGUGCAGUAGGGGCAAGCGGAAUUCCUGGUGUAGCGGUGGAAUGCGUAGAUAUCACGAGGAACACCGGUUGCGAAGGCAGGUUGCUAGACUGUAACUGACACUGAGGCACGAAAGCGUGGGGAGCAAACAGGAUUAGAUACCCUGGUAGUC
rnacentral:rRNA from 1 species